CGAAUUGUUAACUCACGCGCUUCACACAAGAGAAAGUACGGUGGCGAGGAUGUGCGUAGGCCACAAUCCAAGACAAAAAGGCCAUAUAUUCAAUUUUCAUUUCCGCCAAGUGUGGACUUUGCUGAGCACAAAGCAUGGUUGUCACUAAAUUGUGCUUCUAUGGAGAUUGUAAUAGACCUGUGGAAGAAAACGUCGACAGAACGUCUACAAGAGAUUAGGGAUUCGCCUGAGAAUAUCCUGAAAACCUGGCCAAGGUAUAAUGACCCAUGCGGAUAUUUAUUGAUUGACGUCGAUUUUUCAAAUCUUCACCCCGGCAAAGAGAAUCAACUUCUUGACGGAUAUGACGCAUUCAUCGACAAAGUCCUGAGCAUUUAUGAAAGCGACAUUAAA